rnacentral:lncRNA from 1 species
AUGACGAGGUCAAUAGAAUAGGUACUAAGUAUUGCAAUAUGUUAAAAUCGGAACGGCGAAAAAUAGAUCCAGAAAAUAAUUUAAUGCAGGAAACGAAAAGGAUAAGGAAAGAACACACCGAUAUUUACGUGGUUCGGCCAACGGCCUACGUCCACGGACGAAGACGGAGCAAAUAUUUUAUUAAUAUCGAAAAGGCGGAGUACAAGAAAAUCUCUCAAAAGACCAAAACUUAAUUAGAUCCGAAAACGCGCAACAAGCAACUCCAAUUGCGGCUUCUCUCUCAACCCGUAGGGACCCAAAACUUGAUCUUAAUUUGUGCAUACGGCUCCUUAGAUGCUUGCUUAAUUAAUUAGAGCUCCAACUUUUCUCUCAGCUCAUGAUGCUGCUGCCACCGAAACACCAAAUUAAUUAAUUCGACUCCACAGCAUCCGUACGUACCCUCCAAGAGGCUUAAUUAAUUAGUGCAUGGCACUUAAUUUGGUUGCGGCGGCUUCUUGAUGGCCCGGAACCAACAUGCAUUGCUUGGCUUAAUUAGAACGUGGCAUCUUAAUUUGGUCGCGGCUUCAUUAACUUGGCCGUAACAUGUAUAUAUAAUACAUAUCUCCUAAUUAGAGUCUAAUUCUAAUUCAAUUAAAAUUAUACUCCUAAUUAUAUUCCAUAUAUGCCAAAUUAAAUCUAAAUUAUAUAUAAUCCUAAUUAGAUNGCACGCAUCUUGACUUGCCAUAAUGCGAAACUGUUGGCCCUGUCAAAUUUCUGAAUCUCGAACUUCGUCGUCAUCUUAAUCCUCAAAGGGAAUAGAAAGGCUCUGAUACUAGUUUGUUAAAAUCGGAAUGGCGAAAAAUAGAUCCAGAAAAUAAUUUAAUGUAGGAAACGAAAAGGAUAAGGAAAGAACACACCGAUAUUUACGUGGUUCGGCCAACGGCCUACGUCCACGGGCGAAGACGGAGCAAAUAUUUUAUUAAUGUUGAAAAGGCGGAGUACAAGAAAGUCUCUCAAAAGACCAAAACUUAAUUAGAUCCGAAAACGCGCAACAAGCAACUCCAAUUGCGGCUUCUCUCUCAACCCGUACGGACCCAAAACUUGAUCUUAAUUUGUGCAUACGGCUCCUUAGAUGCUUGCUUAAUUAAUUAGAGCUCCAACUUUUCUCUCAGCUCAUGAUGCUGUUGCCACCGAAACACCAAAUUAAUUCGACUCCACAGCAUCCGUACAUACCCUCCAAGAGGCUUAAUUAAUUAGUGCAUGGCACUUAAUUUGGUUGCGGUGGCUUCUUGAUCGCCCGAACCAACAUGCAUUGCUUGGCUUAAUUAGAACGUGGCAUCUUAAUUUGGUCGCGGCUUCAUUAACUUGGCCGUAACAUGUAUAUAUAAUACAUAUCUCCUAAUUAGAGUCUAAUUCUAAUUCAAUUAGAAUUAUACUCCUAAUUAUAUUCCAUAUAUGCCAAAUUAAAUCUAAAUUAUAUAUAAUCCUAAUUAGAUUAGGAUUUAACUCCAAUUUAGAUAACUACAAAUCUAAACCAAAAAUAACACAAUCUU